GUGGGGAAUAUUGGACAAUGGGCGAAAGCCUGAUCCAGCCAUGCCGCGUGUGUGAAGAAGGUCUUCGGAUUGUAAAGCACUUUAAGUUGGGAGGAAGGGCAGUAAGUUAAUACCUUGCUGUUUUGACGUUACCGACAGAAUAAGCACCGGCUAACUUCGUGCCAGCAGCCGCGGUAAUACGAAGGGUGCAAGCGUUAAUCGGAAUUACUUGGCGUAAAGCGCGCGUAGGUGGUUUUGUAAGUUGGAGGUGAAAUCCCCGGGCUCAACCUGGGAACUGCCUCCAAAACUGCAUGACUAGGGUACGGUAGAGGGUAGUGGAAUUUCCUGUGGAGCGGUGAAAUGCGUAGAUAUAGGAAGGAACACCAGUGGCGAAGGCGACUACCUGGACUGAUACUGACACUGAGGUGCGAAAGCGUGGGGAGCAAACAGGAUUAGAUACCCCAGUAGUCC
rnacentral:rRNA from 1 species